rnacentral:rRNA from 1 species
AGAGUUUGAUCCUGGCUCAGGAUGAACGCUAGCUACAGGCUUAACACAUGCAAGUCGAGGGGCAGCAUGGAAGAAGCUUGCUUCUUCUGAUGGCGACCGGCGCACGGGUGCGUAACGCGUAUCAAACCUGCCUCAUACUCGGGGAUAGCCUUGCGAAAGUAAGAUUAAUACCCGAUGUUGUUAUGUUACCGCAUGGUGAUAUAACCAAAGAUUUAUCGGUAUGAGAUGGUGAUGCGUCCGAUUAGGUAGUAGGCGGGGUAACGGCCCACCUAGCCUUCGAUCGGUAGGGGUUCUGAGAGGAAGGUCCCCCACACUGGAACUGAGACACGGUCCAGACUCCUACGGGAGGCAGCAGUGAGGAAUAUUGGUCAAUGGACGGAAGUCUGAACCAGCCAAGUAGCGUGCAGGAUGACGGCCCUAUGGGUUGUAAACUGCUUUUAUGUGAGAAUAAAGUUAGGUAUGUAUACUUAUUUGCAUGUAUCACAUGAAUAAGGACCGGCUAAUUCCGUGCCAGCAGCCGCGGUAAUACGGAAGGUCCAGGCGUUAUCCGGAUUUAUUGGGUUUAAAGGGAGCGUAGGCGGAUUAUUAAGUCAGUGGUGAAAGACGGUGGCUCAACCAUCGUUAGCCAUUGAAACUGGUAGUCUUGAGUGCAGACAGGGAUGCUGGAACUCGUGGUGUAGCGGUGAAAUGCUUAGAUAUCACGAUGAACUCCGAUCGCGAAGGCAGGUGUCCGGGCUGCAACUGACGCUGAGGCUCGAAAGUGUGGGUAUCAAACAGGAUUAGAUACCCUGGUAGUCCACACAGUAAACGAUGUAUACUCGCGGUUUGCGAUACAAUGUAAGCCGCCAAGCGAAAGCAUUAAGUAUACCACCUGGGGAGUACGCCGGCAACGGUGAAACUCAAAGGAAUUGACGGGGGCCCG